rnacentral:rRNA from 1 species
AUUGCCCCAGUAACGGCGAGUGAAGCGGCAAAAGCUCAAAUUUGAAAUCCUGCGGGAAUUGUAAUUUGAAGGUUUCGUGGUCUGAGUCGGCCGCGCCCAAGUCCAUUGGAACAUGGCGCCUGGGAGGGUGAGAGCCCCGUAUGGCGCACSCCGACUCUUUGCACCGCGGCUCCGACGAGUCGAGUUGUUUGGGAAUGCAGCUCUAAGUGGGUGGUAAAUUCCAUCUAAAGCUAAAUAUUGGCGAGAGACCGAUAGCGAACAAGUACAGUGAUGGAAAGAUGAAAAGCACUUUGAAAAGAGAGUGAAACAGCACGUGAAAUUGUUGAAAGGGAAGGGCUUGCAAGCAGACACGGUUUUACCGGGCCAGCGUCGAAAAGGGGGGAGGRACAAGAACUCGAGAAUGUGGCGCGCACCUUCGGGCGCGCGUGUUAUAGCUCGUGUUGACGCCUCCAUCCCUUUUCGAGGCCUGCGAUUCUAGGACGCUG